AUGAACUUGAGAGUUUGAUCCUGGCUCAGAACGAACGCUGGCGGCAUGCCUAACACAUGCAAGUCGAACGAGACCUUC
rnacentral:rRNA from 1 species